AACGAACGCUGGCGGCAGGCCUAACACAUGCAAGUCGAGCGGUAACACAGGGAGCUUGCUCCUGGGUGACGAGCGGCGGACGGGUGAGUAAUGUCUGGGAAACUGCCUGAUGGAGGGGGAUAACUACUGGAAACGGUAGCUAAUACCGCAUAACGUCGCAAGACCAAAGAGGGGGACCUUCGGGCCUCUUGCCAUCAGAUGUGCCCAGAUGGGAUUAGCUAGUAGGUGGGGUAACGGCUCACCUAGGCGACGAUCCCUAGCUGGUCUGAGAGGAUGACCAGACACACGGGAACUGAGACACGGUCCAGACUCCUACGGGAGGCAGCAGUGGGGAAUAUUGCACAAUGGGCGCAAGCCUGAUGCAGCCAUGCCGCGUGUAUGAAGAAGGCCUUCGGGUUGUAAAGUACUUUCAGCGGGGAGGAAGGCGUUGAGGUUAAUAACCUCAGCGAUUGACGUUACCCGCAGAAGAAGCACCGGCUAACUCCGUGCCAGCAGCCGCCGUAAAAC
rnacentral:rRNA from 1 species